ensembl:lncRNA
AAAAAAACGCACCCAGCAAGACAUAAGUGUAGGCUGGGUUUCUGGGAAGACUGAAGAGGUUUCUUUAUGAUGAGGAAUAAGAAAAACAAAGGCACCAGAUGCCACAGUAAAUUUGACAAAAGGGUGUGAGAUGAUGUUAGACAGAAAUUGCUGUUUGCUGAAAAUGAUAUAGUGCUUCUGUUUGUGUCAACUUAAGAGAAUAGUGAUCGAAGCCUAAAUAGUGGCAAAUCAGAGCGGGGAGGACAAAUUGCCAUGUGCGGAUUAUCUGAGGAGCGAAGCCCCGUCUGAUAUUUAUGGCUGGAAAUGCAGGAGAGUCAUAGAGUCAGACAGUUUGCACAGAUGGUGGCCAUCCUCGGUCAACAUUCAAAUAAAAAUGGAAUGAGCGUCUCCCUCUGUGUCCGGCUAUUCCUCUGUCAGCGAAUGCAGACACAGAUAAAAGGACAGGGUGUAAAAGUGUUUAAGUAGCCAGAAGUUGUAAAGAAGGAGGUGGGGGAAAAAAAGAAAGCUUCUGCAAUCCUUUCUGCCUUGUUGAACUUUAUUAAAUUCUGUCAUUCUCUCCUUCCUGUCUGACUCCCAUUGUCAGCUUCCUCUCAUGCGUAACUCGGAUUUUUUUUUUCCUUUUAUUUAUUUAUUUUUUUUACUUUUCGCAGAAGUGUUGUUGAGGACAUUCAGACUGAAAGAAUGUGAUGGUGGUAAUCAUAGCACCACCUAAAAAAAUCACACCGAGAUGAAUCAAAACGUCUGGAAUGCGUGCUGACCGCUUAUUGCGAGAGAAAAUGUCCACCUAAUCACUUUUUCAGUGGUCUGAUUGGGGCUGUGCUCACUGGGUGGUUGUGAGUAGCUGCUCAUAGUUUACAAGAGAUUGCUUAAAGCCUAAAUCAUUUUUAUUGCGUCAUCAUAAUCGCAGUGAAUUCAGACAUUGACUGCAGUGCAUUUUAAACAUUUGCAAAUUAAAGUGACAUCCGCUGUCAGCUGCCAGCCUAAAAAGUACUAGUUAUUGAUGUGACAUUAACCACUAGUUUAUUAGAAAAAUCCCUAAAAUAACAGAUGGAAUAACUUUAUACCAGUAUAACACUACUACUUUGUUUCUUCUUUCCAUCUUUUACCAGAAAAAGUACAUUAUGAAUGGGAAACACAGCUCUAAGUACUAACAACUGAAUAACACCACGGUUGUAAGUUACACCAUUAUUCUUAGUAACACUAAGAUGAAGGUCCUACUUAGAGAAGUUUGAGAUACCUGUGUGAAUCACAGCUGCUAUCUGUGGGUUUUUUCAGCUAUUUUUUUCCUCUCCGUCUAAGAGACG